rnacentral:lncRNA from 1 species
AAACAAGACCACUUCUCAACAGAGAAAGCCCGGUGCCCACAGAGGCCCGACGCUGGCUCUCACUUGCAGUGCUUGAUGAACUCGACGUUGGUGUAGUGAAGCUUGCCCAGGCUCUCCUCCAAGUACUGGCGGAAGCUGCGCAGGGACACCUGCAUGACGUCGACGUAGCUGAGCAGCUCCCGGUGCAGCGCGCUGCUGAGAGUAACCAGCCUGGGGGGGCACAGGAGGACAUGAGUAACCAGCCUGGGGGGCACAGGAGGGCACGAUGGUGACCUGCGCGUGGGAGGGCAGCCUGCGGGGGCGCCAGAGCGCCACUGUGGCGCCCAUCUGUGGGAGCAGCAGAACCACCGCCAUGUUCCUCUGGGUAGAAACAGAAGCUUAGAAGGAAGCUCAAAUUCCAGGGUUCUGUAGGGCACAGUGUGGAACUCUCAGUGUGCUGGGUCAGAGGACAGCCCUCUCCUCGCUCUGGGCCUUGCCACCAAAUUACUAAAGGAAUCCACCAGGUCCCACUGGAUCUUCCUCCUCCCUGCGGCACAAACUUUCUCUCUCGCACCUGCGCCUGGUGUUCUCCCGAAGGAGCACCCUGAGCCUGAAUUCCAACAGACUUCUACAGUGGAGUACACAGAACCUGGAUGUGGCCAGAAGGGAUCCAUCAUCGCGCCAGGUGAAACUUCAGUGUUUCCUCAUGGCUUUGCUGCCUCAGUUGGUCCAAGAGCUGAUCAAGGUGGGCCUCCUGGGCCUGGAAGCCACCCCCAAAACAGGGAGUAGAUGUAAGUUACCAAAGCUUGCAGAGUGCAU